rnacentral:rRNA from 1 species
GAUGAACGCUGGCGGCGUGCCUAAUACAUGCAAGUCGAGCGAAUGGAUUAAGAGCUUGCUCUUAUGAAGUUAGCGGCGGACGGGUGAGUAACACGUGGGUAACCUGCCCAUAAGACUGGGAUAACUCCGGGAAACCGGGGCUAAUACCGGAUAACAUUUUGAACCGCAUGGUUCGAAAUUGAAAGGCGGCUUCGGCUGUCACUUAUGGAUGGACCCGCGUCGCAUUAGCUAGUUGGGGAGGUAACGGCUCACAAAGGCAACGAUGCGUAGCCGACCUGAGAGGGUGAUCGGCCACACUGGGACUGAGACACGGCCCAGACUCCUACGGGAGGCAGCAGUAGGGAAUCUUCCGCAAUGGACGAAAGUCUGACGGAGCAACGCCGCGUGAGUGAUGAAGGCUUUCGGGUCGUAAAACUCUGUUGUUAGGGAAGAACAAGUGCUAGUUGAAUAAGCUGGCACCUUGACGGUACCUAACCAGAAGCCACGGCUAACUACGUGCCAGCCGCCGCAGUAA